GACGAACGCUGGCGGCGUGCUUAACACAUGCAAGUCGAACGGAAAGGCCCUGCUUUUGUGGGGUGCUCGAGUGGCGAACGGGUGAGUAACACGUGAGUAACCUGCCCUUGACUUUGGGAUAACUUCAGGAAACUGGGGCUAAUACCGGAUAGGAGCUCCUGCUGCAUGGUGGGGGUGGGAAAGUUUCGGCGGUUGGGGAUGGACUCCCGGCUUAUCAGCUUGUUGGUGGGGUAGUGGCUUACCAAGGCUUUGACGGGUAGCCGGCCUGAGAGGGUGACCGGCCACAUUGGGACUGAGAUACGGCCCAGACUCCUACGGGAGGCAGCAGUGGGGAAUAUUGCACAAUGGGCGGAAGCCUGAUGCAGCAACGCCGCGUGCGGGAUGACGGCCUUCGGGUUGUAAACCGCUUUCGCCUGUGACGAAGCGUGAGUGACGGUAAUGGGUAAAGAAGCACCGGCUAACUACGUG
rnacentral:rRNA from 1 species